GGAUGAACGCUAGCGACAGGCCUAACACAUGCAAGUCGAGGGGCAGCGCGGAUGUAGCAAUACAUUGGCGGCGACCGGCGCACGGGUGCGUAACAGGUGUGCAACCUAUCCUAUACCAAGGUAUAGCCCGCUGAAAGGCGGAUUAAAACUUUAUGUGAAGUGAUACCGCAUGAUAUUACUUUGAAACGUGAGGGUAUAUGUUGGGCACGCUUAUGAUUAGGUAGUUGGCGGGGUAACAGCCCACCAAGCCGACGAUCAUUAGGGGUUCUGAGAGGAAGGUCCCCCACAUUGGAACUGAGACACGGUCCAAACUCCUACGGGAGGCAGCAGUGAGGAAUAUUGGUCAAUGGGCGAGAGCCUGAACCAGCCAAGUCGCGUGAAAAGGAAGACGGUUCUAUGGAUUGUAAACUUCUUUUGGCCGAGGGUAAAAAGCGGGAUGUAUCCUGCCUUGCAAGUAUCGGUUGAAUAAGCAUCGGCUAGCUCCGUGCCAGCAGCCGC
rnacentral:rRNA from 1 species